UGACCCUGACAACACCUUGUCAUGGCCCUCCUUAUGCAGACAUUGCAUGAUCUAAGACAUGUGCCUGCAGUGCCUGGACCCCAUCUGUGUGCCUACACACCAGCUUCAGCUUGACUAUGACUCACAGAGUUGCUUCAUGUGGCCUUCCCAAUGCAGACUAAGAGCUCCAAACCGCCUACAGGUGGUGGCUCACUGACUUCCCUGUUUGCCUGCACACAAAUGUGUCUUGCCUUUGCUGUGGAAGGCUGUUUCCUGCUUGCACAGUGACUAUGGACCAGAUCUAGCCUGGGCAACAAGAUUUAUUGAAUUCUUGGAAAGCAAAACUGAAGAAUUCCUGACUAAAGGCUUUCUGCAAAAUAUGACAGAAGUUAUACUGUGCCAGUUCUGAGCCCAUAUGCUAAGAAGAUCGUCAGCUUCCACUUCCCUCUUUUGCACCUUGGGUGCUAUUCUGUGAAGAACCCCAAACAACCACAUAGAGAGUCCUCUGGGAUAGAUAAGUCAUGUUUCCAACUGACCGUUCCAUUUAAACUGCCAGCUGAAGAGAGAACCAACUUUUCAUCCAUGGAAGGCUGAUGCACAUCAUCAUGGAGCUAAACACACACACGGAUCAGGAGUUAGAGAAGCUGGAGGAGGAAAUUUGGAAGAAUCUAGAGAUGUUGCAGGGCAUGCUUGUGGCCAUACAAAGAAGGGUCUUGCUGUGUCACCCAGAGUGGAGUGCAGUGGUAUGAACACAGCUCACUGCAACCUUGACCUUCUUGGCUCAAGCGAUCCUCCUACCUCAGCCCCCUGAGUAGCUGAGACUACAGGCGUGCACCACCUCGCUUGGUUACAUUGAAAAAUUUUUGUAGACACCAGGUCUUGCCAUAUUGUUCAGUCUGGUCUCAAACUCCUGGGCUCAGACAAUCCUCCCGACUUAGCCUCCAAAAGUGCCAGGAUUCCACAUGUGAGCUACCAGGUUCAGCCUUUCCACAUUACCUAUAACAUGUAUUAUAUGCUUUUGCUCAUAAUUAUUUCACAAUUUAAUUUUUCUUAAUUAAAUUGCAAGCUUCUUAGAAUCAGGGUCCAGGUCAUCUAUAUAAUUUUAUUCCCUAGAGUGGCCUUGUGCAAUAUACUCUACAUAUUGGUUGAUUAAUAACUAUUAUUUUACUAUUGAAUGAAUUUAUGCAUAAAUAUUAGGAUCUUCCUGAUAUUAAAAGAUGUUCUCAAGUCUUAUUUAACUAUGUAAUAUGUUAUAAUGUAGCUAACCUAAAAAUAUACAUAUUGUCAGAAAAAUAUAUUAAUGGAGCAGAAAGAGAACUGGUAGUAUUUGAUAGACAGCUACCAGCUCAUAAUCACUAUUUACGUUUGGAAUUUUAAAAUAUCAAGGAAAUUAAUUAAAAUUUGAAUUCUUGGGCUUUGAUUGUCAAAACAAUUAUACUUUCCACAGAGCCUUAAGGGAAGGAAAAAAUUUCAGAACAGUUUAAUUUAUGUUUCCAAUGUUUAAGUUCCUAGGAGAGGCAACUGUAGGUGAUUAUUGGUGGAAGAAAAAAUUUCACAUUUUGAUCAGAAAUCAUAUCAUUCAAUUAGAUUUCUCUCACGGGAAGUAAAAUAAAAGCACAUUUAUCUAUAUAUGUUUGUUAUUUUUGAUAAGAAAACCCAGAAAGGCACCCUACAAACUACUUCUUUCUCUUACUUUUAGCAAACUAUUCUGUAAGGAACAUUUUAAGAAAGAUAAAUUUUGGAAACCUUUGUAAAUGGAUAGAAAUGAAAAGAAACAGAAUAAUAAAAGAGAUAAAGGCUAAAGUGAGCGAAACACCAAAUGAGACCAAAAAAAGGCAACAUGAGCAUAGAUUGCUCUAGUCUAUGUUGUAGGACCGGUGUUUCUCCCCAUCAAGUCUUCCAGCAUUUUCAAACCACCUGGAAAUUAGUCAUUGCAAGAUGCCUACUGGAGGCUUUCAAAGCCAUAGGGAGUGUUGCAAGAAGGUGGAAGGAAGAUAGUCAUCAUGAUGUUUAUAUUUCAUUUUUCAUCUGGGAAAUGUUUCAUCAAACUUUAUGAAAGGGAAAAUUCGUUAUAAAAACAACAACAACAAAAAAAAACCACCAGACCUGUGGGCUAGGCAUCAGAGAAGGCCAUCUUCUCAUAAACGUAGCACUGAAAUAAACGACUUUUUCAAUCCAUGCAGGGAGUAUGCUAUCAUACCAAGCUUUCUUUUCACUAGGUCUCCCCUUUGUAAGUCAAAACAUGGGGAAGCCAAUGAGCUUACAAAGCUGAGCAGUGAUGGUUCUAGCUCCUCACCUCACCACACAUUGCUCUACAUUGAGUGAUUUGGGCCCAGUGUAACAUUAUCCUAUAUGGAAAACCAAAAAGGCUGUAUCACAGGUGGUAAUGCCAAAAUUCCAACAAUUUGCUUUUUCAAGUAAAGGUCAUAUGUCACUGUAAUUAAAAGCAGUUUCAGGGAACUGGGUUUUAGAAAAACUAAAAUAACACUUUGUAACAUAUUAUUUUUAAUUGGUUUAAGUUAAAACACGAUUUGUUAAUUUUAUUCACAGGUUUUGAUUUAAAAUCCAGCUAUAUCCAGUUUCUAAAUAAAAGUGUUAGAGCGUAUUUUAAAAUAAUUUUAAAACUAAUAAAUUGCUAUAAAAUCUGACUUUGUUAUGCAUGAUUUGUGCCAAUCAACAACCACAAGCCACAGGAUUGGCAUUCUAAGAACUCUAAGAAUAUGUAAAGGAAAAGAUGAUGUUAAAGCACAAACAAACACAUCAUUAUUUGGCUCAACUUGGAUGCAUAAAUAAAUCAACAAACUUUUUAUUUUGCAUUCUUCAUCAUUUUUUUCCCAUUCAAAA
rnacentral:lncRNA from 1 species